UACGUAGGGUGCGAGCGUUGUCCGGAAUUAUUGGGCGUAAAGGGCGUCGUAGCGGUCUGUCGCGUCGGGAGUGAAAACUCAGGGCUUAACCCUGAGCCUGCUUCCGAUACGGGUGGACUAGAGGUAUGCAGGGGGAGAACGGAAUUCCUGGUGUAGCGGUGAAAUGACGCAGAUAUCAGGAGGAACACCGGUGGCGAAGGCGGUUCUCUGGGCAUUACCUGACGCUGAGGAGCGAAAGCGUGGGGAGCAAACAGG
rnacentral:rRNA from 1 species